CCUACGGGAGGCAGCAGUGGGGAAUAUUGCGCAAUGGGCGAAAGCCUGACGCAGCGACGCCGCGUGAGGGAUGAAGGUCUUCGGAUCGUUAACCUCUGUCAGCAGGGAAGAACGGUCACUGUGCUAAUCAGCAGUGAAUUGACGGUACCUGCAAAGGAAGCACCGGCUAACUCCGUGCCAGCAGCAUCGGUAAAACGGGGGGUGCGAGCUGUAAUCGGAAUUACUGGGCGUAAUGCGCUCGUAGGCGGUUUGUCAAGUCCAGGGGUAAAUCCGCGCGCUCCAAGUGGGAACUGCCUUUGAAACUGGCGAACUGGAGUGGGUGAGAGGAUAGCGGAAU
rnacentral:rRNA from 1 species